GUUCGAUUAUGGCUCAGAUUGAACACUGGCGGGAUGCUUUACACAUGCAAGUCGAACGGCAGCACGGACUUCAGUCUGGUGGCGAGUGGCGAACAGGUGAGUAAUGUAUCGGAACGUACUAGUAGCGGGGGAUAACUACGCGAAAGCGUAGCUAAUACCACCCAUACGCCCUUCGGGGAAAGCGGGGGACCUUCGGGCCUCGCACUAUUAGAGCAGCCGAUAUCGGAUUGGCCUAGUUGGUGGGGUAACGGCUCACCAAGGCGACGAUCCGUAGCUGGUUUGAGAGGACGACCAGC
rnacentral:misc_RNA from 1 species